UCAAUCUCGUGCGGCUAUAUAUACCGCCGGUCCCUCUAAGAAGAUUUUCAUUGUACGCCGGUAGUGAAGACCGCGACACGCCCGCGCCUCCGACGCGAACGCCGAAGGACACGAACGCGCGCGGACCCUCGUGAUACCGGUUGUACGUCUAUUUAAUAGGCUAGAGUUACGUUCGUUAC
rnacentral:rRNA from 1 species